rnacentral:lncRNA from 1 species
GUUUGCUGCGACACCUCAGGAGUACCACAUAAAAAAUUUGAAGGUUGGUCCUUUGCAUAUAUGGUUGCAAAUGUAAACAGCAAAAAAAAUAUCGUUGAAGUGUUUACCAUUAAGGAUUUUUUAAAUGACUCAAGAGUGAAGUACAGAUACCGAAAAUUAUUUAAAGAUAUCAUACUUACCAAAAACAACGAACAGAUUAAUGUGAAAGAUUGUUUGUUUGACUCUGAUAAGGCUGAUGAAGUUAUACACGAAAUUGUCUUAAAAAAUAUUGCGGAUAUCUUUAUUGUUCCAAACAAAACGCCUAACCUUCCUGCUAACAAGAUGACAGCAAGACAAUAUUUGAUUGAUAGGAUUAAACAAAUUAGCAUGAAAUGGAAAACUUGAAGUCUCAUAUAAAACUGACUGGUCAUGGAACUUGAAUGAAAUGCGUGGUGGGUUUUUUUUUGGAAUUAGUAAAGCGAAAUAUAAAAAUUGCGUACUUUACCUUAAAAUAGGAUUGUCAC